rnacentral:rRNA from 1 species
UACGUAGGGGGCAAGCGUUUGUCCGGAUUUAUUGGGCGUAAAGAGCGUGUAGGCGGCUUUACAGGUCCGUUGUGAAAACUCGAGGCUCAACCUCGAGACGCCGGUGGAAACCGUAAGGCUAGAGUCCGGAAGAGGAGAGUGGAAUUCCUGGUGUAGCGGUGAAAUGCGCAGAUAUCAGGAGGAACACCCGUGGCGAAAGCGGCUCUCUGGGACGGUACUGACGCUGAGACGCGAAAGCGUGGGGGAGCAAACAGG